rnacentral:lncRNA from 1 species
CACAGUUAGCCUGCAGCAAGAUUGUCUCUUAUCUCCCUAUCUUCUUAUUAUAUAUGUUGAUGCCCUUUUGUGAGUUCUUCGUACUGCCUCCCUCACGACAGGCUUGAACUGCUAUGUUCCAGCCCCAAUGGUUCAGCCGAUGUCACAUCUUUUUGUUCGCAGAUGAUUGCUUACUAUUGGGCUGAGCCCCAUUCCAGAAUACCAUUGACUUUAGGAGGAUUUUGAAAGAAUACUGUGAUGCCUCAAGUCAGAAUGUGAAUCUUUUCAAGUC